AGAUCUUCAGAUAGUCAUUCACAGGUGAAAUCUAGAGCCCUAAAAUUCUGCAUUGACAAAAUGCACUAACUAAAAUUCUCUCCUCUUUUAACCUCCAGGCAAUUCUAAUCAUCUGGAAAGAGAUCAAAUAACAGAGAAAUGAAUAAAUUUUCAAAAGAGGAAACUUAUAGUCAUGAAAUAAUGGAUAAUUCAUGAGUUAACAUCUUAUUUUUAAAUCUAGAGGAAGAUCAAUUUAAAUUCUCCCAAAUAAUAUUUAAGGUCUUAUGAACAACAACAUGUAGAAGAGCUGAGGUCAUGAUAGAUGAGGAGACUGUAUACAAAUGGGCUGGACCGGAAUGGAAAACAGCAGUACUUCACCUGUAUUAAAGAAGCCAACCCUGGAACCCCUCCCCCUUCUGUGGUGGGGACCCAGCCACUGUGUACUUCUCUAUAAGAGGAAAGUGGGGUUGCAGCAGGGAAUGCAAGAUUGUCUCACACAUCAUUCGGCUCUCAGCAUGGAAAUAUCUGAGGAAGUACCAGGAGGAUGAUUUGCCUUCUCCAGGAAAGAAUGAAUAGAAGCUUAAGGGCCAGUGACAAGCUGCAUGCUAGGAGAACCCAAGGUGUGACAAACCCUGUCAACCACGUGACACACUACUUCAGGGCUGUCAGCUCACCUUCAAUGCACUAUUAAAG
ensembl:lncRNA